CAAGAUUCUGACACUCCCGUAAUUGUUCCUGGGGAUCACAUCACUAUUGUAAAACCUAAGAUCAGUGCUUGAGAUAUUUUGCAGACCCUGUACUCAGUGAAUCAGCUGGUACCACUCAGGUCAAUAAACUCGUUCCUCUGAUCUUGUGGCCCCAGCCCGGGAACUAACUCAAUGCAAGAGGACAAUUUCAACUCCCUAUGAUUUCAUCUCCACCCAAACAACCUGCACUCCCAACACAAUGGCCGCCCCUCACUCACCAAAUUAUCCUUAAAAACUCCAGUCCUGGACUUUUCCAGGAAACUGAUUUGAAUAAUAAUAAAACUCCAGUCUCCCAUUGAUAUGGUCUGUCUCUGUGUCCCCAUGCAAAUCUCAUCUUGAAUGGUAAUCUGAAUUGUAACUCCCACAAAUUGGGGAAGGAGCUCUUCGCAGGCAGUUAGAUCACAGAGGCGGUUCUCCCACAUUGUUCUGAUAGUGAGUUUUCCUGAAAUCUGAUGGUUUUAUAAAGGGCUUUUCCUGUCUUCACUCUGCACUUGCUCUCUCGUGCCACAACAUGAAGAAGGUUCCUGCUUCUCCAUCCACUUCCACCAUGAUUGUUUUUCCAGAAGCUAUACUUCCCAGCCUUUGAGAUGACCAAUUUGCAGGCUGCAACCCAUUAUGAGAAAUACAGUUCCCCUUUCACAAUUUAUGAACCUCAUGAUUCUGCAGUUGACACAUUUCUUCCAGAAGCUCGACCAUCAAUGGCCUUGAUUUCCAUGAUUGCAAGUCCUGCCAGCUAAAGUUUCAGAAAAGUCUGGGCAAGUCUGGAAGUCCAUUGUAUCCAGUAUAUGUGGCUACGUAAGAAAUUUUCUGGAAUUACACAUUUUCUUGGAAGAACAUUAGGAGCUGGUUCUGAAGAUCAAAUUACAUCAGAAAAAAAGGUGAAACAGGGAAAUUCCAACUGAUUGCCUGGAAAAUUGCUUCAGUCUUCUAGCUCCCUUGAAGGCAACUUUGAAUUGAGCAGAUACACAAAAACAUUCUGUCUUCUGAAAUUUUAAUCUGUGCAAGAUUAUUUUACAACUACACAUAUUGAUAAUAAAGCAAUUUCUCCAAGUGGGACACAUCAGAUAAAAUGGUGUUUGUAUAUUUCUCUCACAUUACUUUUUUCUAUUUAUUGAAAGCCCAUUCUGUCACUAGAAUGAAUCUCUAUCACCCCUGUUAUUCCUUUUCUGCCAAUAUCCUUUAAAAAAAUUCACUGAUGACAUUCAGGGUGAAAUUCAUUUUAGGCUGAAUUUGAAAAAUAAAUAAAGGUGUCCAGGUGCAAAUGCAAGCCUUAAAUUGUACAUUUUUGGCAGGCAUACGUAAUUCAUAUAUAACCUAGCAUCUGUAAAUAUAAAAGUAGUGGACCUCACUCAAGUUUCCCAUAAGGGUAGAUUUGAAUAUAGAUGAAGAUAGGAAUAUAUCUCUUAUUCCAUCCUUACAUUUAUUGUUUGUAAUGGUCACCAAAAAUUAAUCUUUUAGCCUUGCUACAUAUUUUAUUAUUUGCCAGAGCAAAAGCUGAUCAAUUUUAAUCUGAUUUAAAAUGUAAUCCAAAAACCUAAUGUUUUUUAACAGAACAAUAAAAAUAUUUUUCAAUGACUUUGUGCAUUAGUGAAUGUAUCCCUGAAAAGCAUGUGUAACCUUGAAUUAAUAAGUUAUGUUUUCU
rnacentral:lncRNA from 10 species